CAAAGAUUAAUUUAACAUUUUCUCUGGAAGUAUUAAUUUAGAAAGAUAAUAUGCUUCAUUGGUGUUGUGUUUUGAAGUGUGAAAUGUGAUAAAGUCAAGAUAAAGUUCACUUUUAAACUGAACUAAAUAAGGUAUCUGAGAGACAACAAUGGUUAAAUGCAAUACAAUGUACAGGUUUUACUAGCGAAAUGAAAAUUUUCCUGUCCUGUCUGCUGUAAUCAUUUUAUAUCUGGAAAACCAGCCGACUUAAUAGAUAAUAACAAUCUCCAGAUUGGGUUCCUUCAAUAAAUAUGGUCUAUAAACACAAUGAAAUAAGUUCCCCAAAAUCUAAAAUGGAGUGGUAUCAAAGGAGAAUUAAAGGGAAAAAUAUUCAUAUUGAAAUUAUUUAUAAGGCACUGGACUGUCUUAAAUUCUACAAUAAUACUAGAAUCAGCUGAGAGAAGUGGUCUACAAAAAAACCAGGAAGGAAACGGAAUAUGUGGCUACGAAAGGCAAAAGAAAGGUUUACAAAGCAAAUGUGACAGAUUUUUUUGAAAUAUUUAGGAAUAUCAGUAAAUUGCAUUAAAAAAAUGUAUGAAAAGAUUUUGUUCAAUAAAAAUGUUUAUAUUUAUCAAGGAUGUAUUAUUUGGUAUGGCCACAUAUCGUCAGUGAUGUAAUAAUACAUCCUAUCUGUUUUUUCAUGAGUUUUGUAAGAGAGACUAAAAACUUGUCUUAGGGUCACCUCCUGUUUUCAUAUGAUA